GGUGGGGGGGUUGGGGGGAGAGGAUGAGCUACCUGGAAGGGAAAGUACAUUAUUACCCAAUAAUUAUGGAUUGCAGGUGCUCAUUAGGUUGAAGAAAAAGUUCAAAACACUGAGAUCCAGGGUAUUGAGUACAGCAAAUCUGUGUGUGUAUUGGAAUAGGAGAUUUACCACCAGAACUGAGGAAAUAGGACAGAUGGAAAAGCAAGGGGAAGGAAGUGUUUUUGAAGCGCCAUCAAGAGAAGGAAGAGUUCAGAUUCUGCUGCAGAGCCCAGCUGUGAACGAGUCAGGAGCUCCCACCUCUACCCGAAAACCGGAGGAGAGGGAAGUAGGCUAGAACCCAACACAGUGCUUCCGGAAAGCACUUCAGAAGGCAAAGGAGCAAGCUGAGAAUUGUAUUGCUUUGCUGCACAGAUAUGAGAAAACUACCAGAUCAAAAACCAGUCACUCUAGAAGUCUGGGCUGCCUUAAAGACCAAAUUGGAUUAAGUAUGCCCAGACAAGCUUUUAAAACACUUUGAAAAAGAAAGAAAGCCAAGUGAACUGAAGAGUUGGGUUCAGUGCCCUUGAGGUAAUUUGGAUAAUUUGCAUAUCUUGGUGGGGUGUUCAAAGGGUAAAAAAGGCAAGGCCUUUUCCAGGAAUAUUUGUUUGAAAACUUAAUUAUGUUAUUUUUAUUUUAGAGAGAGUGUGCACACAGGAACAGGGGAGAGGGGCAGAGGGAGAGAGAGAGAGAGAGGGAGAGAGAAUCCCAAGCUGGCUCCAUGCAGACGUGGGCCUCAGUCCCACGAUCUUGAGACCAUGACCUGAGCUGAAACUAAGAGUCGAUGCUCAACCAACUGAGCCACCCGGGUGCCCCAGAAAACUCAUUUCUGUAAGAGAAUCAGUCAAAUAUAACACACAGAAUAUAGUUAUAGUGCUGAGUGCCCUGUAAACAGAUUCCUGGGUCCAUUCUUUCUGUCCCCGAGAGGCUUAUGCUUCUGGAUUGAAAAACCCUAAGAACCUUCUCUAACACAGGCAAGUGUCAUAGAGCCUGGAACAGAAGGGCUAGUUUUUCUAAGACUUGGAAGGAUGAAAUGUGUUUCUCUCCCUUUAUGGCCCAAAAUAACUGAUCAUGAACUAAGCAGAUCCCCUCUAGACCCUGGUUUCUCAACAUUGGCAUAUUGAAGUUUCGGGUCAGCUAGUCUGUGCUGGGGGGGGGGGUGUCCUGUGCAUUGUAGCUCAGCAACCCUGACCUCCACCCACUACGUGCCAGUAGCACGCCCCUCACCCCCAGGUUAUGGCAACAAACAUCAAAAAAUGGCUUCAGACUUUGCCAGAUGUCCCCUGGGCACAAAACUGACCCCUGUUGAGAACCACUCCUUUAGGGAGGAGGAUGGAAUAUUCUGUUCCAAAAUAUACAUAUAAGAUAUUAACUUUUAAAAAAUGUUUAGGAAAAGAGGAUAUUUUAGAAGAAAUAUGAUAAUACCUUCAUAGCUUCCAAGGCAUGGCUCCAAGCUGUUAUUUCUGCUAAAUUAUAAGCUUUCAAGGGCAAGAACAAUAUGCAUUUUUCUUAUUUAUUGCCAUAGUCCUAGGAUCCGGUAUAGUGCCGGGACAUAGUAGGUGUUUAAUAAGCAUUUGGGGGAUGAAUGCAUGAUUUAUUGAGCAAAUGCCGCAUGCCAAGCACUCUGGCGUGUUCACAACAACACUAAUGGGAUAGAUGUUAAAGUAAAACUCUAUAAUAGAGCAAAUUCAGGUGUCGCAUAAUUGUUUUUCUCCUGGGUCCUGACCUUACCCCAGGCUCUUCUUUCAAACGGAUGAGCUACAGUUCUUCCGACCUGCCCCUGUGGGAAGGGCCACAACUCCCUCCGGGGAAAUGGGGAGGCAGAGAGUGAGUCUCUGUGUCUUCAGUGUUCUCCCAGCCAAAUUUCCCUGGGUCCAAAAGACACUCUGGGCACCAGCUGAUGAGGACAUUCCUGGAAUUAUUGCUCCUGUCCUGGGAACUUUAGCCAGACAGCCGCAGGACCCAUCUCUGUCCCCAUCAAUAUUUAAACCAGAGUAAACAGUACUCAGAUGGCACCAAACCACGGCUGAGACUGGAAAGGACUUAGCUCAUGUCGCCAGGACCCCAGAAUCCAAGUAUUUCAUUACUUUCUCGGAAUUGUGCCCUUGCGUUUUACAAGCUUGACCUCUUUGUGACCUACUCGUCACCUUCUGGUGGGGUUUUACCGUAUCAUCCCUAUGGUAUGUGUGAGGAAACUGAGGCCCUGAAAGAUUCAAAUCACAAAGCUGCUGUGUGGUGACCCGAGAUUCAGACCCGGCAAGGUUGGGCUGCCAGACAGGACGGAGCAGUGAGCACGUACGCUUCCCCAGCGGAGCUGGCGAUGGCCAUUUCUGCGUCCCAUGUGUUCCCAUUCCCUGCAUGGUAUGGGGCGGUGGGUCCUGUUGUCUAUCGUGCGAGCUCAGGAGAGACAGAUGGACGAGACCUGGCUGAGAGCCAAUAGCCUCUGAGCCAUGCCAGGCUGGAGUGCGGCAGACAUACCAGGAUGAACAGCAGGCAGGACCAGGCUGGCCUGGUAAGAACAGGCAGAGACAAAAAUGCAGCGUCCAUUGAGGGGAGGAGCAAGGUGAGGCAGAGCCCAGCCGAGGAGCUUGCUCGGCACUUCUGCCGCAGGCCGGACCGCGACGUGGACCCCUGCGUCCGAAAAUGGGGGAGCAGGAUGCCUGCUGUUAGAUAAACCAGGAGUCUUGGCAGCUGCCCUGCUAGGGAGCGUGACUGUUAAUUACACGCACAUACAGUUGUUCGUGGAGAGGAAGCUAGUGUUCUUUACACAGAUCCUCUUAUUUUUUAG